CAGUCGAGCGGUAACAUUUCUAGCUUGCUAGAAGAUGACGAGCGGCGGACGGGUGAGUAAUGCUUGGGAACAUGCCUUGAGGUGGGGGACAACCAUUGGAAACGAUGGCUAAUACCGCAUAAUGUCUACGGACCAAAGGGGGCUUCGGCUCUCGCCUUUAGAUUGGCCCAAGUGGGAUUAGCUAGUUGGUGAGGUAAAGGCUCACCAAGGCGACGAUCCCUAGCUGGUUUGAGAGGAUGAUCAGCCACACUGGAACUGAGACACGGUCCAGACUCCUACGGGAGGCAGCAGUGGGGAAUAUUGCACAAUGGGCGCAAGCCUGAUGCAGCCAUGCCGCGUGUGUGAAGAAGGCCUUCGGGUUGUAAAGCACUUUCAGUCAGGAGGAAAGGUUAGUAGUUAAUACCUGCUAGCUGUGACGUUACUGACAGAAGAAGCACCGGCUAACUCCGUGCCAGCAGCCGCGGUAAUACGGAGGGUGCGAGCGUUAAUCGGAAUUACUGGGCGUAAAGCGUACGCAGGCGGUUUGUUAAGCGAGAUGUGAAAGCCCCGGGCUUAACCUGGGAACUGCAUUUCGAACUGGCAAACUAGAGUGUGAUAGAGGGUGGUAGAAUUUCAGGUGUAGCGGUGAAAUGCGUAGAGAUCUGAAGGAAUACCGAUGGCGAAGGCAGCCA
rnacentral:rRNA from 1 species